CCUACGGGUGGCAGCAGUGAGGAAUAUUGGUCAAUGGACGAGAGUCUGAACCAGCCAAGUAGCGUGAAGGAUGACUGCCCUAUGGGUUGUAAACUUCUUUUAUAUGGGAAUAAAAUGUUCCACGUGUGGGAUUUUGUAUGUACCAUAUGAAUAAGAAUCGGCUAACUCCGUGCCAGCAGCCGCGGUAAUACGGAGGAUCCGAGCGUUAUCCGGAUUUAUUGGGUUUAAAGGGCGCGUAGGUGGAUUGUUAAGUCAGUUGUGAAAGUUUGCGGCGCAACAGCAAAAUGGCAGUGGAAACUGGCAGUCUUGAGUACAGUAGAGGUGGGCGGAAUUCGUGGUGUAGCGGUGAAAUGCUUAGAUAUCACGAAGAACUCCGAUGGCGAAGGCAGUUCACUGGACUGCAACUGACACUGAGGCUCGAAAGUGUGGGUAUCAAACAGGAUUAGAUACCCUUGUAGUC
rnacentral:rRNA from 1 species